rfam:Spirochaetes bacterium GWF1_31_7 GWF1_Spirochaete-like_31_7_gwf1_scaffold_545, whole genome shotgun sequence.
GCUGAAUGGCUCCUCGAAAUCUGUUUUCAGGAACAGGUUUCAAACUGCUCCAAGCUGCUGAGAUUAAGAGUCUUUGGUGGUUAAUGUUGUGGGGAAAGGCAGGUCAUGAAUCUGUCAAGU